rnacentral:rRNA from 1 species
GACGAACCGUCCAAACGUUAUUCGGAAUUAUUGGGCUUAAAGGGCGCGUAGGCGGCGGCGUAAGUUGGAAGUGAAAUCCCAUCGGCUCAACCGUGGAAUUGCUCCCAGUACUGCGUCGCUCGAGGGGGAUAGGGGUCUGCGGAACUACCGGUGGAGCGGUGAAAUGUGUUGAUAUCGGUGGGAACGCCAGUGGCGAAAGCGGCAGACUGGACCCUUCCUGACGCUGAUGCGCGAAAGCUAGGGGAGCAAACGGG